rnacentral:rRNA from 1 species
AUUCCUACGGGGGGCAGCAGUGGGGAAUAUUGCACAAUGGGGGAAACCCUGAUGCAGCGACGCCGCGUGAAGGAAGAGGUAUUUCGGUAUGUAAACUUCUAUCAGCAGGGAAGAAAAUGACGGUACCUGACUAAGAAGCCCCGGCUAACUACGUGCCAGCAGCCGCGGUAAUACGUAGGGGGCAAGCGUUAUCCGGAUUUACUGGGUGUAAAGGGAGCGUAGACGGCUUGGCAAGCCAGAUGUGAAAGGCUGGGGCUCAACCCCAGGACUGCAUUUGGAACUGUCAUGCUAGAGCG